UACGUAGGGGGCAAGCGUUGUCCGGAUUUAUUGGGCGUAAAGAGCGUGUAGGCGGCCAGAUAGGUCUGUUGUGAAAACUCGAGGCUCAACCUCGAGACGCCGAUGGAAACCAUCUGGCUAGAGUCCGGAAGAGGAGAGUGGAAUUCCUGGUGUAGCGGUGAAAUGCGUAGAGAUGUGGAGGAACACCGAUGGCGAAGGCAGCCCCCUGGGUCAAGAUUGACGCUCAUGCACGAAAGCGUGGGGAGCAACAGG
rnacentral:rRNA from 1 species